rnacentral:miRNA from 1 species
CCAAUAUCCACAAUCCUUGAGC